GGUCGAGUGGUGUAGUGGUUAUCACGUGUCGUUCACAAUCUCAUGUGGACUUCUUCCGACAAGGUCCCCGGUUCGAUCCCGGGCUCGAUCA